rnacentral:rRNA from 1 species
UGGGGAAUAUUGGGCAAUGGGCGCAAGCCUGACCCAGCAACGCCGCGUGAAGGAAGAAGGCUUUCGGGUUGUAAACUUCUUUUGUCGGGGACGAAACAAAUGACGGUACCCGACGAAUAAGCCACGGCUAACUACGUGCCAGCAGCCGCGGUAAUACGUAGGUGGCAAGCGUUAUCCGGAUUUACUGGGUGUAAAGGGCGUGUAGGCGGGAUUGCAAGUCAGAUGUGAAAACUGGGGGCUCAACCUCCAGCCUGCAUUUGAAACCGUAGUUCUUGAGUGCUGGAGAGGCAAUCGGAAUUCCGUGUGUAGCGGUGAAAUGCGUAUAUAUACGGAGGAACACCAGUGGCGAAGGCGGAUUGCUGGACAGUAACUGACGCUGAGGCGCGAAAGCGUGGGGAGCAAACAGG